rnacentral:tRNA from 1 species
CAGGGUGUAGCUCAGUAGGGAGAGCGCGUGCUUUGGGCGCACGAGGUCGUCGGUUCGAUCCCGGCCACCCUGACCA